UAGAGUUUGAUCCAUGGCUCAGGACGAACGCUGGCGGCGUGCUUAACACAUGCAAGUCGAACGGAAAGGCCCAGCUUGCUGGGUACUCGAGUGGCGAACGGGUGAGUAACACGUGGGUGAUCUGCCCUGCACUCUGGGAUAAGCCUGGGAAACUGGGUCUAAUACCGGAUAUGACCAACUGUCGCAUGGUGGUUGGUGGAAAGCUUUUGCGGUGUGGGAUGGGCCCGCGGCCUAUCAGCUUGUUGGUGGGGUAAUGGCCUACCAAGGCGACGACGGGUAGCCGACCUGAGAGGGUGAUCGGCCACACUGGGACUGAGACACGGCCCAGACUCCUACGGGAGGCAGCAGUGGGGAAUAUUGCACAAUGGGCGCAAGCCUGAUGCAGCGACGCCGCGUGAGGGAUGACGGCCUUCGGGUUGUAAACCUCUUUCACCAGGGACGAAGCGUGA
rnacentral:rRNA from 1 species